UACGUAGGGCGCAAGCGUUUAUCCGGAAUUAUUGGGCGUAAAGAGCUCGUAGGCGGUUUGUCGCGUCUGCCGUGAAAGUCCGGGGCUCAACUCCGGAUCUGCGGUGGGUACGGGCAGACUAGAGUGAUGUAGGGGAGACUGGAAUUCCUGGUGUAGCGGUGAAAUGCGCAGAUAUCAGGAGGAACACCGAUGGCGAAGGCAGGUCUCUGGGCACUAACUGACGCUGAGGAGCGAAAGCAUGGGGAGCGAACAGG
rnacentral:rRNA from 1 species